rnacentral:sRNA from 1 species
CCAUUACUCUGCUGCCACCGCAAGGUCCCACAGACUUGGCAGCUUAAACAACCGAAAUUGAUUUCAUCACAAUUCUGGAGGCUCUAAGUCCAAGAGCAAAGUGUGACACGAUUGGUUUCUUCUGAGGGCCUCUCGUCUGCCUGUCGCUGGCCGUCUCCUGGUGUUUUCACAUGGUCUUCCCUCUGCCUGUCUGUGUCCUGCUUUUGUCUUAGAAGGACAAUAGUCAUGUAGGAUUAGGGUCUACCCAUAUGACCUCCUCAUUUUACCGUAAUUACCUCUUUAAAGGCCCUGUGUCCAAAUAGAAUCCCAUUCUGAGGUACUGGGGUUUAGGUCUCUAACAUGAACUUGAGGGGGACGCAGUUUAGCCCAUAACACUAACUCUGACCCCUCUCAUGAGCAUCAGGCCUGCAGAUCCAGCUCCCCCUCCCACCCCCCAUGUCUCUCUCUACAGUGUGUCCCAAAGAGACCCCUCCUGGCCCCCUUAGCAUUCCUUCCUCCUGCUUUCCCGAUCCAGAUCAGGGCCUUGGGAUCAUCUCUGACUCUCCCCCAAUCUCUUUCCCAUCACUGGGUCAUCUGUUGAAUUGUCUGCACAUCUUCUGUGUUUGCCUGUUCCUUCAUAUUGCCAGUGCCAUGAUUUGAGCCACUAACAUUCCCAGACACUUCUGCCUGGUCAUCUUCCUCUCCAGCAGCCCAGCUUACAUUCACUUGCCUUACUAAGCAGAGCUCCAACUCUGUCCUUCCCUUGCCUGGGAAGCUUCCAUUGCUCCCCACUGCUGUAGGGUAUCAUAAUGAUCUUGUGAGGUAGACAGGCUAGGUAUUGUUAUUGUUAUUUGGUAGUUUUAGAGAUGAGGAACUAAGGACCCAGUUGCUCAGUGUUUCCUAGCUAGUGAAUAGAGACUAGACACCAAGUGUUCUACAUGCAGACUUCAUACUGCUCAGCCUAGCACGCAAAAUGGCAACGGCGUAGUCCCCAGACCGUGGUCCCACCUGUCUCUUUCCUAACAGCUCCCCAAGCACCCACACUUUUCUGCCUCUUUUUCAAUCUGUACCCUUGACCCUCCUCCUUUUUCUGCUUUGUCAGACUCCUUAAGGCACUUCAUAAAUUACCAUUUCCAGGGAUUUCCUCUCAUACAUGGGUUACUCCAGUGGACAGGGCAGCCUCAUGGGUGCCUGUGGAGGGUGAAGGGUCUGCCUCGCCGUGGGUGUGAUCACACACUCCCGUUGUAACCCCUGCCUCCCGUGACACUUGCUGCCCCACGAUUUAGCUGCUUUGUGUUCCGUGCCUCCUGUUUGCUGGUGAACUCCUGAGUCGGGGGGCGUCGUUCCCUCCACUGUAGUUCUUGCGCGAUGCUGAAUCCAUGGUCAGCACCACUCGGAAAUACCUCACAGUCCUGUGGAGGAAGACAGGCCGGGGUUUCCAGUUACCCUUCUAUGUCUGGAUACUCUGCUCAUUCACUGAAGCCAGGCCCCUUCCUGCACUUAUGCCUCUACCCAGAUAACGAGUUCUACCCACUGAUGACCUCCUCUCCUCUAGUAACAGUCCACCUCCCUAAUGAGCAUCUCUGGCUGACACACGUUCCGUUCUCCAGGCCUGUGAGCCCUCGUCCCUCGCUGUUGCUGAGCCACAGCACCCACCCUUCUGGCCUCACUUUAGAGCACUGUCAUUUCAGAGCAGACUGUGUGUGGGGUGGCCAGGUGAAAUGCAGCUGACGGCUCUGCGACCAAAUGUGACCAAAGGGCCACAUUCCCAGCACCCGGCUCCAAAGGCAGAGCUUGGAUUCUAUGCCCAGCACAGGUUUUCAGGGCUUCCUCCUCUCUCUGGGCCUAAACAGUGAUCCCUUUCCCUGUUUCCCACUACAUCUGGCAGAAUUUAGGCCACAUUUCAUUUUCUUCUUCUGCCCAUGGGGCUCCCUGCCCACUGUGUUCCCCUGUCACUCUGUCCAGGUGCACAAGCUUCUCAUCGUGGUGGAGCUGUUGCUGGGGGAGAUCCCUGACCGGCUGCAGUUCCGCCAGCCCUCCCUCAAGCGCUCACUCAUGCCCUAUUUCCUUCUGACUCAAGCUGUCAGGACAGGAAACCUAGCCAAGUUCAACCAGGUCCUGGAUCAGUUUGGGGAGAAGUUUCAAGCAGAUGGGACCUACACCCUAAUUAUCCGGCUGCGGCACAACGUGAUUAAGACAGGUGUACGCAUGAUCAGCCUCUCCUAUUCCCGAAUCUCCUUGGCUGACAUCGCCCAGAAGCUGCAGUUGGAUAGCCCCGAAGAUGCAGAGUUCAUUGUUGCCAAGGUGGGGCUGGUUCAGGAACCACAGUGACCAGGUUAUCACUUUCCUGCCAAUCUCAGGAGGCAGGAGUGGGAGGAGUUUGGCCAAGGAGGGGAAUAGGUAAAGCAAUGGCAUAGUCAUUUCAGGGAGAGCCCGUCAUUUGCAGUGAAGCCAAGAAGUUGCCAGAGAGAGCAUGGAUGUGCAUGUGAGUGUGUGAGUGUAGGUGUGUACACAUGUUGAGUUUAUGAUAGUGCCUGUGAGUGUGAGACUACGAGGGCAGAGGAAUGGGGUGGAACAAGAUGUUCUCUGACUUAGAAGAUGGGCGUGCUGGGCCAGGUGCAGUGGCUCAUGCCUGUAAUCCCAGCACUUUGGGAGGCUGAUAUGGGCAGAUCACCUGAGGUCAGGAGUUUGAGACAAGCCUGGCCAACUUGGCGAAACCCCAUCUCUACUGAAAAUACAAAAAUUAGCCAGGCCUGGUGGCAGGUUCCUGUAAUCCCGUCUACUUGGGAGGCUGAGGCAGGAGAAUCACUUGCACCCGGGAGGUAAAGGUUGCAGUGAGCCGAGUUCGCACCACUGCACUCUCCUGCCUGGGUGACAGAGCGAGACUCCAUCUC